GACGAACGCUGGCGGCGUGCUUAACACAUGCAAGUCGAACGGACGAGUGAGAUAAGUUUACUUAACUCACAAGUUAGUGGCGGACGGGUGAGUAACACGUGGAUAAUCUACCUGCAACACCGGGAUAACGCUGUGAAAACGGUGCUAAUACCGGAUACGUUCCCUUGUGCGCAUGUAUGAGGGAAGAAAGCUCAGGCGGUUGCAGAUGAGUCCGCGGCUGAUUAGCUAGUUGGUGAGGUAAAGGCUCACCAAGGCGAUGAUCAGUAGCCGGCCUGAGAGGGUGAACGGCCACACUGGGACUGAGACACGGCCCAGACUCCUACGGGAGGCAGCAGUGGGGAAUCUUCCGCAAUGGGCGCAAGCCUGACGGAGCAACGCCGCGUGGGUGAAGAAGGCCUCGGUUGUAAGCCUGUCUUAUGGAGAAGUCAGUGACGGUACCGAUAGGAGGAAGGACCACGGCGUAACUAACGUGCCAGCAGCCGCGGUAAGAGUAGUA
rnacentral:rRNA from 1 species